UGAGAAACUUCCUAGCAUCUUUUGUCUAUUAUUAGGGAUUGAUAUAAUCCAAUUAUAUCCCGAAAUCUAUCAUUAUAGAUUUCCAUCCCAUGUUUAUAGACUAUGUCUCCCAUAUACAUUCUAUCGUUCAUAGAAUGUUUUAAAGUCAUAACUUUAAUGAAGAAGUAUUCUUUUCAUUUCCAAAAUUAAUAUAUCAUAUAUGUGUGUGUGUGUGUCUAUAUAUAUAUAUAUA
rnacentral:lncRNA from 1 species